rnacentral:rRNA from 1 species
UCCUACGGGAGGCAGCAGUAGGGAAUCUUCCACAAUGGACGAAAGUCUGAUGGAGCAACGCCGCGUGAGUGAAGAAGGUUUUCGGAUCGUAAAACUCUGUUGUAAGGGAAGAACAAGUACAGUAGUAACUGGCUGUACCUUGACGGUACCUUAUUAGAAAGCCACGGCUAACUACGUGCCAGCAGCCGCGGUAAUAA